rnacentral:rRNA from 1 species
AUUGAACGCUGGCGGCAGGCCUAACACAUGCAAGUCGAGCGGGGUUUUCGGACCUAGCGGCGGACGGGUGAGUAAUGCGUAGGAAGCUGCCCGAUAGAGGGGGAUACCAGUUGGAAACGACUGUUAAUACCGCAUAAUGUCUACGGACCAAAGUGUGGGACCUUCGGGCCACAUGCUAUCGGAUGCGCCUACGUGGGAUUAGCUAGUUGGUGAGGUAAUGGCUCACCAAGGCGACGAUCUCUAGCUGGUUUGAGAGGAUGAUCAGCCACACUGGAACUGAGACACGGUCCAGACUCCUACGGGAGGCAGCAGUGGGGAAUAUUGGACAAUGGGCGCAAGCCUGAUCCAGCCAUGCCGCGUGUGUGAAGAAGGCCUUCGGGUUGUAAGGCACUUUCAGCGAGGAGGAAGGGGUAGUAGUUAAUAGCUGCUACUUUUGACGUUACUCGCAGAAGAAGCACCGGCUAACUCUGUGCCAGCCGCCGCAGUAAGAC